AUGGAGCACAUGAUUUGGAAGGCUUGGGCGCCUCCAAAGGCAAAGUUCUUCGCUUGGUUGGCAACCCAAGAUAGAAUCUGGACGGCGGAUAGGCUAGCCAAGCGGGGUUGGCCGAACUGUGGUCUUUGCCCUCUUUGCAAAAGGGAGCAAGAGAGUGGUCCUCAUCUUUUUUUCAAGUGUUGUUACACCAUCCGCCUUUGGAAGAUGGUCAUUGAGAAAUUUCAGCUUACGCAUUUGGACACCUCUUCAUGGCAUUUGGAGGCUUCAGUCAAGAGUUGGUGGGAAAAUUUGACCGGCACAGGAGUACCCGACAGAAAGGCGAUGGCCUCGAUGACUAUGCUCGUGUCGUGGACCGUCUGGAACGAAAGGAAUGCACGGGUCUUCCGGCAUAAGUGUGCUCCACCGCCUAUUUUACUAGCUUCCAUUGCCAAUGAGGCAAAGCUUUGGGUCACCGCCGGGGCAAAGAAAUUAGGGGCCAUUAUUUUGCGCGAGUAA
rnacentral:rRNA from 1 species